UUGGUGGGGUAACGGCCUACCAAGGCGACGACGGGUAGCCGGCCUGAGAGGGCGACCGGCCACACUGGGACUGAGACACGGCCCAGACUCCUACGGGAGGCAGCAGUGGGGAAUAUUGCGCAAUGGGCGAAAGCCCGACGCAGCGACGCCGCGUGGGGGAUGAAGGCCUUCGGGUUGUAAACCCCUUUCAGCAGGGACGAAGCGAAAGUGACGGUACCUGCAGAAGAAGCGCCGGCUAACUACGUGCCAGCAGCCGCGGUAACACGUAGGGCGCAAGCGUUGUCCGGAAUUAUUGGGCGUAAAGAGCUCGUAGGCGGUCUGUUGCGUCCGCUGUGAAAACUCGGGGCUUAACCCCGAGCCUGCAGUGGAUACGGGCAGACUAGAGGUAGGUAGGGGAGAAUGGAAUUCCCGGUGUAGCGGUGAAAUGCGCAGAUAUCGGGAGGAACACCGGUGGCGAAGGCGGUUCUCUGGGCCUUACCUGACGCUGAGGAGCAAAAGCGUGGGGAGCGAAC
rnacentral:rRNA from 1 species